GGGCUAAAACUAUGUGCCGAAGCUGCGGAUUUGACAUUAGUCAAGUGGUAGGGGAGCGUUCUGUAAGCCGAUGAAGGUGUAUUGAGAAGUAUGCUGGAGGUAUCAGAAGUGCGAAUGCUGACGUGAGUAACGACAAAACGGGUGAAAAACCCGUUCGCCGAAAGACCAAGGGUUCCAGUCCAACGUUAAUCGGGGCUGGGUGAGUCGACCCCUAAGGCGAGGCCGAAAGGCGUAGUCGAUGGGAAAUUGGUUAAUAUUCCAAUACUUCUGUGU
rnacentral:rRNA from 1 species